CAGGCCUAACACAUGCAAGUCGAGCGGUAACAUUUCUAGCUUGCUAGAAGAUGACGAGCGGCGGACGGGUGAGUAACGCGUAGAAAUCUACCUAGUAGUGGGGGAUAGCCCAGAGAAAUUUGGAUUAAUACCGCAUACGCCCUACGGGGGAAAGCGGGGGAUCUUCGGACCUCGUGCUAUUAGAUGAGUCUGCGUCGGAUUAGCUUGUUGGUGAGGUAAUGGCUCACCAAGGCGACGAUCCGUAGCUGGUCUGAGAGGAUGACCAGCCACACUGGAACUGAGACACGGUCCAGACUCCUACGGGAGGCAGCAGGUGGGGAAUAUUGCACAAGUGGGCGCAAGCCUGAUGCAGCCAUGCCGCGUGUGUGAAGAAGGCCGUUAGGGUUAGUAAAGCUACUUUCAGCAGUGAGGAAAGGGGUGUCGUUAAUAGCGCCAUCCUGUGACGUUAACUGCAGAAGAAGGACCGGCUAACUCCGUG
rnacentral:rRNA from 1 species